CUCAGGAUGAACGCCGGCGGUGUGCCUAAUACAUGCAAGUCGUACGCGUUGGCCCAACUGAUUUGAAGUGCUUGCACGGAUCUGACGUUGGUUUACCAACGAGUGGCGGACGGGUGAGUAACACGUAGGUAACCUGCCCAGAAGCGGGGGACAACACUUGGAAACAGGUGCUAAUACCGCAUAACAAUUCAAAUCGCAUGAUUUGAAUUUGAAAGAUGGUUUCGGCUAUCACUUCUGGAUGGACCUGCGGCGCAUUAGCUUGUUGGUGGGGUAACGGCCUACCAAGGCAGUGAUGCGUAGCCGAGUUGAGAGACUGAUCGGCCACAAUGGGACUGAGACACGGCCCAUACUCCUACGGGAGGCAGCAGUAGGGAAUCUUCCACAAUGGGCGCAAGCCUGAUGGAGCAACACCGCGUGAGUGAAGAAGGUUUUCGGAUCGUAAAGCUCUGUUGUUGAAGAAGAACGUGCAUGAGAGUAACUGUUCAUGCAGUGACGGUAUUCAACCAGAAAGUCACGGCUAACUACGUGCCAGCAGCCGCGGUAAUACGUAGGUGGCAAGCGUUAUCCGGAUUUAUUGGGCGUAAAGAGAGUGCAGGCGGUUUCUUAAGUCUGAUGUGAAAGCCUUCGGCUCAACCGAAGAAGUGCAUCGGAAACUGGGAAACUUGAGUACAGAAGAGGGCAGUGGAACUCCAUGUGUAGCGGUGGAAUGCGUAGAUAUAUGGAAGAACACCAGUGGCGAAGGCGGCUGCCUGGUCUGUAACUGACGCUGAGACUCGAAAGCAUGGGUAGCGAACAGGAUUAGAUACCCUGGUAGUCCAUGCCGUAAACGAUGAGUGCUAGGUGUUGGAGGGGUUUCCGCCCUUCAGAUGCCGGGAGCUAAGGCAUUAAGCACUUCGCCGUGGAGAGUACGACCGCAAGGUUGAAACUCAAUGGCAUUGACGGGGACCCGCACAAGCGGUGGAAGCAUGUGGUUUAAUUUGAAGCAACGCGAAGAACCUUCGCAGGUCUUGACAUCCCUUGACAGCUCCAGAGAUGGAGCGUUCCCUUCGGGGACAAGGUGACAGGUGGAGCAUGGUUGUCGUCAGCUCGUGUCGUGAGAUGUUGGGUUAAGUCCCGCAACGAGCGCAACCCUUAUUACUAGUUGCCAGCAUUCAGUUGGGCACUCUAGUGAGACUGCCGGUGACAAACCGGAGGAAGGUGGGGAUGACGUCAAAUCAUCAUGCCCCUUAUGACCUGGGCUACACACGUGCUACAAUGGCGUAUACAACGAGUUGCCAACCCGCGAGGGUGAGCUAAUCUCUUAAAGUACGUCUCAGUUCGGAUUGUAGGCUGCAACUCGCCUACAUGAAGUCGGAAUCGCUAGUAAUCGCGGAUCAGCACGCCGCGGUGAAUACGUUCCCGGGUCUUGCACUCACCGCCCGUCA
rnacentral:rRNA from 1 species